ACGGAAGGCAGCAGUGGGGAAUAUUGCACAAUGGGGGAAACCCUGAUGCGGCAACGCCGCGUGAGUGAUGACGGUCUUCGGAUUGUAAAGCUCUGUCUUUAGGGACGAUAAUGACGGUACCCAAGGAGGAAGCCACGGCUAACUACGUGCCAGCAGCCGCGGUAAUACGUAGGUGGCGAGCGUUGUCCGGAUUUACUGGGCGUAAAGGGAGCGUAGGCGGAUUCUUAAGUGGGAUGUGAAAUACCCGGGCUUAACCCGGGUGCUGCAUUCCAAACUGGGAAUCUAGAGUGCGGGAGGGGAGAGUGGAAUUCCUAGUGUAGCGGUGAAAUGCGUAGAGAUUAGGAAGAACACCAGUGGCGAAGGCGACUCUCUGGACUGUAACUGACGCUGAGGCUCGAAAGCGUGGGGAGCAAACAGGAUUAGAUACCCUGGUA
rnacentral:rRNA from 1 species